AUUGAACGCUGGCGGUAGGCCUAACACAUGCAAGUCGAACGCGAAAGUCCUUCGGGAUGAGUAGAGUGGCGGACGGGUGAGUAACGCGUAGGAAUCUAUCCUGUAGUGGGGGAGUAACGUUUCGAAAGGAACGCUAAUACCGCAUACGCCCCACCGGGGGAAAGGCGGGGGAGUCUUCGGACCUCGUGCUAUAGGAGGAGCCUGCGUCGGAUUAGCUAGUUGGUGAGGUAAAGGCUCACCAAGGCGACGAUCCGUAGCUGGUCUGAGAGGAUGAUCAGCCACACCGGAACUGAGACACGGUCCGGACUCCUACGGGAGGCAGCAGUGGGGAAUAUUGCGCAAUGGGCGAAAGCCUGACGCAGCCAUACCGCGUGUGUGAAGAAGGCC
rnacentral:rRNA from 1 species